UACAGAGGUCCCGAGCGUUGUUCGGAUUCAUUGGGCGUAAAGGGUGCGUAGGUGGCGCUGUAAGUGGGGUGUGAAAUCCCGGGGCUUAACCCCGGGACUGCAUUCCAUACUGCGGUGCUUGAGGACUGGAGAGGAGACUGGAAUUUACGGUGUAGCAGUGAAAUGCGUAGAGAUCGUAAGGAAGACCAGUGGCGAAGGCGGGUCUCUGGACAGUUCCUGACACUGAGGCACGAAGGCUAGGGGAGCAAACGGG
rnacentral:rRNA from 1 species